ACCAAUGCGAGGAAAAAGAGGAGUAAAGAUUAACCUUUUAAGAGAGGAAGAUUCAUCGGCUGAAAGAUCUUCCAAAGUAGUGAUUUUGAAGGUAGCUUUUGAGCAUUUUUAGCGAAAUUAGAGUAGUUAAAAACGGAAAAACCGUUAAAGAUAUAAGAGCUAAAGAGUGUAAACUUUUUGGAACUAAGGUGGUAACGCGCGAUGUCGUCCUUUGG
rnacentral:ncRNA from 1 species